rnacentral:lncRNA from 1 species
CUCAUUUUUCUACUGCUCGUGGAUUUACGCGCACGUUGGAACCGAAGAGAGCUCUGUUGUUGCAAUGUUCAGCCCACAAGAGCUUACUGGUGAAGGAAUGGGACAAGACCCAUCUUUAUGCAAAGCCAGCGUUACAGUAAUGUUCCAGGUACAUAAAAUGCUUUCCUCUGUUGUCUACAGCAUCUCAUAAUCUAUCCUGGGGAAUUCAGCUGCCUCCCAGGGUGAAUACAGGUAUUCCUGAUGACAGUCUGCCUCUAUCUUACAGAGCAGCUUGUUGCUAUAUACCAUUGAAAAGCCUUCAGAGCUGAGAGGUACUACUAACCAAUAACCUGCUUGGCUCAAAGGGCCAGCACCUUCUCUCUAAAGCCCAAGAGGAGUUUGAGGAAAACUAGGUGUCUGUGUUCACUCCAGGCUGAAGUUACAGGUCUGAGCAAAUAAGGUGUAUAAAAAAUGGAAUCUGUCUUGGAGGACAUCAGAAGGUGAAUUUUCCAAGUUCUUGGACAACCUAGCUGUUGAAAAGCUUUCUGGGUUUGGGGGGUAUUUCAGAUGUACCUUAAAGUGUUAGCAGACACAGAUUAAGACACUGGGAGCCAAUGAAACAGCAGUUGAGGGUUUGCUGUGUAUCACAUUUCUGUAUUUUAUCACCCCCUUCCUGCAACAUUAUUUAUCUGGAAUCUACCUGCCCUUUUGUUUUUUAGAUACAAGGGCUUGGUUUUGUUACCCAGGCUGGUUUCAAGGCCAUAGCUUUAAGAGAUCCUCUCACCACAGAUUUCCAAAGUGCUGGGAUUGCAGGUGUGAUUCAUGGCACCCAGACUUUGCUGCCUUUCUUACAUGAUCCAGGCCCAGAACCCAAACUCAGGCACUGUAUAGAUGACCACUUUCGUAAACUACUGACCUAGCUUGUUGCCAAUUGUUGAUUGAACUUCCCAUAACUCCACUUCGUGUCUGUUCCUCUGUAUACAGCCACCUUCUGUUCCCGUCAUGAGCCUUUAGGUCUCCAUUUGCAUAUUGCAAAUACUAUGUUCCAUGUAGGUAGCUCAUUCAGGGCCUUGCUCUUCACUUCAAAAAAGGUUCCCUUGAGGACUGGCUGUCAAUUUGUGUUGCUGUGUUGGUUGUUGAUGAAAAUAAUAAAAUGAUUGAUUACAUA